GACGAACGCUGGCGGCGUGCUUAACACAUGCAAGUCGAACGGAAAGGCCCUGCGCUUGCGGGUCGCUCGAGUGGCGAACGGGGGAGUAAAACGCGAGUAACACGUCCCUGACUGAGGGAUAACUUUAGGAAACUGGGGCGCAUAUCGGAGAGGAGCUCCUGCUGCACGGUGGGGGUUGGAAAGAUUCGGCGGUUGGGGAUGGACUCGCGGCUUAUCAGCUUGUUGGUCGGGUAGUGGCGUACCAAGCCUUUGACGGGUAGCCGGCCUGGGAGGGUGACCGGCGACAUUGGGACUGCGAUACGGCCCAGACUCCAACGGGAGGCAGCAGUGGGGAAUAUUGCACAAUGGGCGGACGCCUGAUGCAGCAACGCCGCGUGCGGGAUGACGGCCUUCGGGUUGUAAACCGCUUUCGCAUGUGACGAAGCGUGAGUGACGGUAAUGGGUAAAGAAGCACCGGCUAACUACGUG
rnacentral:rRNA from 1 species